rnacentral:lncRNA from 1 species
AAUGGCGUCAGCUUCACCAAGGGCUGCUACAUCGGGCAGGAGCUGACCGCCCGCACCCACCAUGUGGGCGUCAUCCGCAAGCGCCUGUUCCCGGUGCGGAUCUCCGGCCCUCUCCCUGCCGGGGGCAUCACCCCUGGUACCUCGGUGCUCACUGAGUCGGGGCAGGCAGCGGGCAAGUACAGGGCAGGCCAGGGGGACGUGGGCCUGGCCUUGCUGCGGUCAGAGAAAAUCAAGGGCCCUCUCCACAUCAGGACCUCUGAGAGUGGCCAGCUGGCCUUAACUGCGUCUGUGCCGGACUGGUGGCCCACAGCCACCAAGUAACGCUGGACAUCCCACUGUUCCUGUAGGCUCUGGAGCUGCCAGGGUGCCAUGGGGGGUCCUGUCCAUCUGCUGCACAUCCCCUCUGGAGGCCCUCCAGUGUAGUGGGCCUCCCAGGCUGCAGGCAUCGUGGGCGUUCCGGAGUGGCCCCGGCAUUUCCUGCCCACCAUGCUUCCCACCCAGGGCCCGCUGCCCAGCUUGGGCUGUCCUCUCUUGGCUGCUCUGUGGCUAGGAGGGGCAGGAGUACUCCCGCGACCUCGGGGUGAGGAGAAGCAGGCCCUGCACCUGCUUCUGGGCUGAGCUGAGCUAUAGCUUCUGCCGGAUGAGGAUGGACAGGACCCCAGCUGUAUGGGUUUGGAGGGCGCUUAGCCAUCAGCCCAGGACAAGGAUGGUCCAGAGCCUAGCCCCUGGGCUGCCUGCACCCCUCUCCGUCUGGGGUUGGCUGGAAGGACAGGCUGAAAUCAGAGUGUGCCUUCUGUGUCCUGUGACUCACAUUUCCACACCGGAUACAAGUGUUGUGAUGGCUAAUUUUGUGUCAGCUUGACUGGCCUGUGGGGAGUCCAGACAUUUGGUCCAACAUGAUUCUGGGAGUGUCUGUGAGGGCAUUUCUGGAUCACGUUAACAUGAACUGGUGGACUGCAUGAAGCAGAUUGCCCUCCCAGUGUGGGUGGGCCUCGUCUAAUCAGGUGAAGGCCUGCAUAGUGCAAACAGGUGGAGGAAGAGGGAACUCGUCCUGUUCAGCUGCCUGACCUGGGACAUCAGUCUUCUUCUGUCCUUGGACUUGCACUGGAACAUUGGCUCUCCUGGGCCUCCAGCUUGCUGAGCCAGGUGUAUGUGUACAGGCACCCUGUAGGUUCUCUCUCUCUCGAGAACCCUAGUACUGCUGUCUUCCCACGUGAAUGCCUGAGGACCUGCUGCAAUGUUUCUGUGACUGUGCCCUGAUUCAUUUGUUCCUUCCCUGGCGGUUGAGCCUGUUGACAAUGUUUUGCCACCACGUGCUGCCGUGAGUAUCCUUGUACUGUAGUACACGCGUGGAAGAAUUCCUGAAAGGCAUGAGUGUAGCAGACGUCAUUUGCAAAAUUUACUUUUGGGGAGCCACUAUGAAUUCCACUGUAGGGAAGUUAGUUUUUUUCUCUUUUAGGAUGGCUGCUGUUUUUUGUGUUGGAUAAGAAGUCUUUGCAUACAUAUGUGCUUGAUUUUCUUCCAAAAGUUUUUGUUUUAAUUUUUUUUUUUAAGAUCGACUUAUUUAUUUUAGAUGGAGAGAGAACACAGUGGGAGGGCAGAGGGAGAGGGAGAAGCCGGCUCCCUGCUGAGCGUGGAGCCCGACAUGGGGCUCGAUCCCACAACCCUGACAUCAUGACCUGAGCCUAAAUCAAGAGUCGGAUGCUUAGUGGACUGAGCCACCCAGGUGCUGUUUUGAUUUUUUAAGUUUGGUUUUUAAAUUCAUCUCAGCUUGAGUAUUUUAUUGAAGUAAGAUUCACAUAACAAAAAAUACCCAUUUUAUUUUUUUAUUUUUAACUUCUUAUUGAGAUAUAAUUGACAUA